rnacentral:rRNA from 1 species
AUUUUUGCGGAGAGUUUGAUCCUGGCUCAGGAUGAACGCUGGCGGCGUGCUUAAUACAUGCAAGUCGAACGGAGAGUGUAGCAAUACAGUCUUAGUGGCGAACGGGUGAGUAACGCGUUGGUGACCUGCCCCAAAGUG